GCCCGAGUUUUCUUUACCAGCGUACCCUACGCACGCACGCUGUUCACCUCGGGGAUCCAUCAUUUCCACCAGACAUUACUCAUCUGAGUGACACAAACGGAAGCCUUGACGAGUGAAGUGUUUGUGAAGAGUCAUUUGACUGUGGUGAAAGGCCGCUCUGCUGAGAAGGGAGGCGGGGGCCACACCAACUAUGAGCCACUGCUUCUAGCAGUCCAAAAGAAAGACCUGCUCUUGCAUGUAAUUCAUCUUUCCUCAUGUAGACGCACCAAGGCUUGGUUCACAGCAUCCUGUCUUGAUUUCUGCACUCUUCUCUACACUGCGAAGUCUUCAGAGCACUACAUAAAUGCAGGGCUCUCGGACCCAGCCUGCUCAUCUCUGUUUCCUAA
rnacentral:lncRNA from 1 species